rnacentral:rRNA from 1 species
UACGAGGGGGGCGAGCGUUGUUCGGAAUUAUUGGGCGUAAAGAGCGCGCAGGCGGUCGUUCAAGUCGCGUGUGAAAGCCCCCGGCUCAACUGGGGAGGGUCACGCGAUACUGAUCGACUCGAAGGCAGGAGAGGGAAGUGGAAUUCCCGGUGUAGUGGUGAAAUGCGUAGAUAUCGGGAGGAACACCAGUGGCGAAGGCGACUUCCUGGCCUGUUCUUGACGCUGAGGCGCGAAAGCUAGGGGAGCAAACGGG